rnacentral:lncRNA from 1 species
CUAGAUGACAAUAUUCUUAUUAAACUCUCAGUUUACGUUUUGUCGUAUUUUACACGACAGCUGUAUUAUUAAGUUGUAUUUGAAUUUUGUACCAUGUAUUUGGCGACUCAAGAUGGGUGAUGUAUACCUAUUUUGGGGGCAUCACAAGAUCGGCGUCCAUGGUGUUAAAGCAGCGGCGAAGGGGAGGAGGAAGAUGACCGGCGAAGGGGAGGAGGAAGAUGAC